rnacentral:rRNA from 1 species
CGUGUAGGCUGUCAAAUAAGUCGGGUGUGAAAUACCUGGGCUCAACCUAGGGAUUGCAUUCGAAACUGUUUGGCUAGAGUACAGUAGAGGAGAGUGGAAUUUCCGGUGUAGCGGUGAAAUGCGUAGAUAUCGGAAGGAACACCAGUGGCGAAGGCGGCUCUCUGGACUGAAACUGACGCUGAGGCGCGAAAGCAUGGGGAGCAAAACA